rfam:Ictidomys tridecemlineatus contig021645, whole genome shotgun sequence.
GGGGAUGUAGCUCAGUGGUAGAGCACUUGUCUGGCAUGCAGGAGACCCUGGGUUCAAUCCCCAGCACCACCA